rnacentral:lncRNA from 1 species
AUGCCAGGAAAAAUGCCCCAAAACCACAGCACAAAACUCCUCCAGGAGAAGCUGAACGCUGGGAUCUCUGCCCGGGGCUGGGUGAGGGGGUGCGGACGCCCCAGGGCCUACCCCCGAGUUUCGGGGCGGGGGAGCGAUGCUCGCAGGGUCUGGGCCGGAGCGGCAUCGCCGUUCCCCCACCCCCGAGGUGCCGCGAGCUGCCGCCCCAGCCCCGGCCCCAGCCCUUACAUGGACAAAUCUGCCUGCAGGGAAAGGCAGGAAUUUGGGCCCUUGACGUCAGCCCCGGGCAGAGCGCAGCAGCCCGGCGGGGCGGGAGGCAGCGGCCGCCGCUUUCGCUUUUUGUUUCGGGGGUGUCCCCGGGAGCUCGGGGCUCGCAGCCCACCUCCUACGCCGGAGGGGAGGGCUGUGAAAGAAACCCAAAGUCGUGACUCUGGCAGUCUCCAGAAGCCCCGCUCCGAGUUCAUCCCACCAGCAAGGCUGUGCAGUGCAGGAGCCGAGUGCCUUAUAAUUGAGAGUGCCUGA